rnacentral:rRNA from 1 species
UUAAAUUGAAAGAGUUUWGAAUCAUGGCUCAGAAUUGAACGCUGGCGGCAGGCCUAACACAUGACAAG